AUGCGUCGUGGGCUAGGCGGGACCAGAGGGGUCCGUGGAGCAGACCGCCUAGGCGCGCUCCCGGACGAGGUCCUCCAGCACGUGCUGUCGUUCCUGCCGUCACGCGAGGCCGUGCACACCUGCCUGCUCGCCCGCCGCUGGCGCCACCAGUGGAAGUCCGCGCCGGCCCUGCGGAUCACCGGCGUCGACUCCUUCAAGAGCGCCCGUGAAUUCAAUGACUUUGUCAACUACCUCAUCGCCUUCCGUGGCCGGCCGCCCCUCCACGCGUGCGAGUUCGAGGCCUGCGAGGUGUACGAGGACUAUGAUGAGGGGUCCCAAGACGACGACGGCGAGCGGUCCCGGUACACCGAUCUGUGGAUCCGGUACGCCUUGUCAUGCCACGCUCGGCUGCUUCGGAUCAGGGACCAUGACCCUAAUAACGUUGAUCCCAAAAACGAGGCUCCGCGGAAUGUUCUGCUUGAGACUCCCAUCUCCUCCCCGCAUCUCACGACGUUGGAUCUCGAUGGUGUAAUCUUCUCGAGAAAAUACUCUCUGGAUUUCUCCAGUUGCCCGAACCUGGAGACUGUGAAGAUGCACCGUUGCUCCUUCUCAAUCAUAAGCUGGAACGGUCCCAUCAAGAUAUCUUCGCAGUCUGUGAGGUAUCUUAGCAUCACGGAACAUAAUUUUCGUCGUUAUGACAAGCAGGAGGCUCUCAUUUCUGUCCCAAACCUCGUCUACCUAGAGCUGGGUAGUGGCCGUGGCAAGGUUCCUUCGUUUGAGUGCACGCCGUCGUUGCUAGCAGCAUCUAUCAAGCUUGACGAUAAGGAUGGUUCCUUCCUCCUUGAGCGCUUGUCAGCUACCAUUAAUCUAGAGCUCAUGAUCGAGCCUCAAGCGCGGUCACCAAGUCUCGAGAACCUCCACCUCCGACUAUCUAAGAAAUAUAAACAUGCCGAAGAAACAGACGGAAGCUACGCUCCAAUAGAACCAUUUUUGGCAUCGAAGAGUCUUAGGGUUGUCAAGAUCAAAUGCCUGGCCAAAGAUGAGCGUGUUCACAAAAUUGUGAAGGUCCUGUGUUCAUGUGGAGUAACUGCUGAGCUAAUCAUCAUCAACAAAAGAAUUUGGUCUUCUGACGGAUCAUAUUCAGAUUCAGAGCACUCAAAUUAUUCACAUUCAGAUUCAGAGCAGUCAAACUAUUCACAUUCAGAUUCAGAGCAGUCA
rnacentral:rRNA from 1 species